rnacentral:rRNA from 2 species
ACGGGAGGCAGCAGUGGGGAAUUUUGCGCAAUGGGGGAAACCCUGACGCAGCAACGCCGCGUGCGGGAUGACGGCCUUCGGGUUGUAAACCGCUUUCAGUAGGGAUGAUUAUGACAGUACCUACAGAAGAAGCUCCGGCUAACUACGUGCCAGCAGCCGCGGUAAUACGUAGGGAGCAAGCGUUAUCCGGAUUCAUUGGGCGUAAAGCGCGCGUAGGCGGAUGUCUAAGCGGAACCUCUAAUCUUAGGGCUCAACCUUAAGCCGGGUUCCGAACUGGGCGUCUCGAGUAUGGUAGGGGUAGACGGAAUUCCCGGUGUAGCGGUGAAAUGCGCAGAUAUCGGGAAGAACACCGAUGGCGAAGGCAGUCUACUGGGCCAUUACUGACGCUGAGGUGCGAAAGCGUGGGGAGCGAACAGGAUUAGAUACCCUGGUA